CAAAAAUAAAAAACCAAAAAUAAAAUAGCAGUGCAUUUAAUAAAAUAAAAACGACUGAGCACAUGAGGCGGACGUAGCGCAUUCAAAAUUGACAGCGAGUAUCAAUCUUGUUUGAGCGUACUGUACAUAUUACAAUGCUUUGGUAAUGGGCUGGCGGGUGACAGCUGUCAAAACAAAACUCUGACAGCCGCCACAGAUAAUAGCAGAAUCACAGAUUAAAAACGGCUAGCCAGAUAGCAUUAGGAAUAACAUAAAUUUUUCUAAAUAAUAAAAAGAAUAAAACAGUAAAAUAAACAAAAAUAAUAAUAGUGAUACAAUUAAUUUUGUUCGCAAGAAGGCACAUACGAAACCUUAAUCUAACGAAUACAAUAUAAACUUAAAACAAACGACGUGUGGAUACAAAAAAAAAAAAACAUAUAUAUAUCAGGAAGACGACUUUGAACAAUCAUUAUACAAGAUUAGAGGUUAAUUUAUGUUUAAUUUUACCGCUUCAUUACCUAUGUUCUAGCAUUAAAAAUGUCUUAUAUAAAAUUUCCGGGCGUACCCUAUAAACGUUAGUAGGCAUGCUUCAUACAUAUUCAAUCAUUUCCAGUAACACGAAACCUUUGUAUUAUGUUUUUCACCGUUGUAACCUUUGCCUUUACAUUUCAUUUACAUACAUGUUCAUACAUCGUUAUAUAAUGUGUGCCAAUAAAGAAUUUCAUCAAGAAAUACACAUCGAUAACACUUUUUUCGCAUUGAAUUGAUAAAAUUAGCUUUUCUAGCUAUCAGGAGGAAAAGAGAGUUGAAUAUCGUACAAGCGAGAUGGUACGAUGUUACUUUUUAAAUCGAUCCGAUUACGGUACAGAUUAUACAAACGAUAAUAAAUACGCUGUAAUAGAAAUUGACAAGAAUCGAUGUAUAAAACAAAUUGUUUUUGCGAAAUUACUGUACAAACAUACAACGCGUGCAAUUGAGUUAAAACUUCAACGUCAUUUUAAAUUUCCCACUUUAAAUUUAUUUAACAAUUAUUGCAAUUAAGGUGUUCAAUCGUCGACACAUGAUCGAAUUGAUAUCCCUUUUAACGAUAUAAUUACAUCUCUUAUUAGAAAUACCGCACAAAAUUAAGGCAGAUAAACGUUUCCGAUUCUAGAAUGACAACUUUGAUAAUUAGGGCCACGUUCCUAAAGGCCUAUUCAACACUACGACUUAUAUUUUCAAGUGACGGAUCAACUGAACUGAACGUAUCUGGUAGUUUGUACAGCUAGCGCUAUAUGAUUUUUAAUAGUUGAUCAUUUUUAUACUGACAGCGGUGUUUUCUGUCUUAUCCGACUUCAAGAGCGUGCGUUAUGUCUAUAAAUUAAUUAUUUGCAAUACGAAUAUAUCGCUACGUGCUAUUACAGGCAAUGUUAAACAGUAAACAUCUCACAGCAUGGCACAGAGAAAUCAGUGGAGAUGGGCCACGGAUAUGAUCUGCGAGUUCAUUUUUAUAUGGUGUAAGUUGCGCACGCGCAGACUGCAUUUCCAAAUCAACAUCGUACGUAUUUUAUUAUUCGGUUUGAUUUUCCACAUAGACUCUAAGAGCAGUCUAAAUUGAUCUGGACGAUACAGACCAAGCUGUUAAUUAUAUAUUUGUAAUUAUAAAUGGCACAAAUGUCAGGCCAAUUUUGCAUUGUAAGGGGGCACCCAUUAAUUACGUGAGUAGUACGAGAGUACAGGGAGGGGAAGGUUGAGCUGAUUUUUACUUUAUAUUUUUUCAGAGGGGAGGAGGGGAGGGAAAUAUCACAAGCUUAGCGGAAGCUAAGUAACAGGAAAAAUGUACGACAACACAGUUGGGAAAUUAAUUAAAAUAUGAUUUGUUACUAAAAAUAUUUUAUCUAGAUUAAGUAGCUCAUGCAUUAAUCGUAAAUACUUGUUUUAGCUAAUCUAUACUAUAAUAAAAAUGGGGUCGGGGUCAAAUGCUGUACAUUGAAGAUAUUUAGGUUUUCUUGUGUUUGAUUUUACGCGAGUAUUAUACAUUUAGAAGUUAAAGACUUUUUAACGUAUUUAAACGCGAUUCAUUCAUUAUAUUCCGACGUUUCGAACACUUUACAGCGAUAUUUAGUUUUUUUUUUUUUGUGGGGCGAAUUUUUUAUUUUACUACUGAAGUAUAAAAUGCUAUUUAAAACAUUUUUAUCUGCCCGUCUGUCUGUAUCUCGAAUAAGAAUCACGCAAAAGCUACUAAAUGGAUUUUGUUGAAACUUGCUAUGGUUAUAACAUCUACUCUGAGGAAGGAUCUUAUUUACUUUUUCAUCCCGGAAAUCGAUACGGUGUCUGAGAGAGAGGGAUGAAAGUCUAGGUAUUUAUUGGCAAACGCGAACAAAGUCACGGAUACAGUUAGUCGCGAAUACAUGUACUUAACAAUUUAUUUCUUCCUCUUAAAAAGAAUCCAAACACUAUACUCUCGUUUUAAAAUAUCUCGUGUGAUUCGGAGGGUUUAGGGGGAGCGAGUCAAAAAAACCUUACAUAAUUAUUAUGCCCCUUGUGCCCUUGCAAAGUAUGGGGCAGAUGCUCGGUGAACCAACUUCUAUUUAGAUAUAAGAACACAUCUACUGUAACCAGUAUACUAAGACCUGUGCCAUAAAUAAUUUGUCUAAACAUUUCAUAAAAUAAAAUUGUCCAUUUUCAUACGAAUCGAAUCUAAUCAAUGCGGUCUGCGGUUUCCCGCGACAAUGUUCGUCUAACAGAACAUUCUGGAACGAAUACUUUCCACAGAUAAACAAUUAAAGAUUGCACAACUCAAUAACAAACGAAACAAUUAAAUAUUGCACGUCCUAUACGUGAUUUUUUGAUUCUAUAUUUGAAUUCAUUUGAUUCUAUAUUUGAAUAUUUGGCUGUAUUUAGUAAUUAGGUUGACCAAUGUAUUUUAGAAUUGAUUUUAGCAUCAAAUAUUACAAUUAGCAGAUGAAACUUCUAGAACGAGCAAUAAUAAUUCCAUGUGAAUGCAGCGAAUAUACAUAAAAAUCGCUUUCAACGAGAGAUUGCGAGUGAAGAAUUUGUAAAUAAUAAAUCAUUAUUGGAUAAAGAUAAAUCAUCGUUUAUAAAACCGACAAUUACGCAGUAAAUGAAUUUAUGCAUCUUGAAAAUGCACUAAAUCGAACAUUUUCCAACUCGAAUAAUCGAAUUAUUUUUUAUUAUUCAAUCAACAUUCGGGCAUCACGAUACAGGUAACAAUAAAUGAUUUCAUACACCACACGUUCUUACGUAAAUUCAAAUAUGCAUUAUUAUUGAUAAUCUAUAAAAAUGGUCCUUCGAGCCGUACCGCUUAAAUCUAUUUAUUGCUGUCUAACACAUACCAUACAAACGAAGGCUCGGUGUAGACGAACGUGUUGUGAACGGUACGUUUUAGGGUCGGUAUUAAUUAAUAUAUCAAAGAAAGAGAAUUGAUAAGAAGAAGAGACCAUAAAUGUAGGUAAAAAAAUACAGUUUUGGGAUUUUUUUUAAAGUGCACUAAGGUAGAUAGCUCACUGUUAUUAAAAUAUAUUUUUAUGUUUAAAAAAAAGGACUAAGUAUUAUUUUGACACGAUCGUCUACACUCAGCCUUAACCACUCGGCAACACUAAACAAACCACCUCUACGAAUAUAAAAAGUGACACUUAUUAUAUACCCCAAACGCGACGACACGACACGAUAUCGUGAUCGCGAACAAAUCAUCGUCGACGACACAUCGCACAAGCUUAAUAUCGUGCCGGAGAACCGUGCUACGGGGCGUUUUAAAAGCGAUGUACAUCCAUGAAACACUAAAACAUGAUCCGCAUUUUACGAAGUCGGUUAGAAAAGCAAUGAACCCAUGCUGUUACUCGGCAAUACCAUUACAUUAAAAAAAAAUAAUAAUAAUAACGAAUCGAAAUGAUUUUUGUCCCGCAAAUCAAUUAAUUAAACCACUAUAAUAGUAAUAAUAAUUAAAAAAAAA